UCCCUUGUGGCUCAGCUGGUAAAGAAUCUGCCUGCAAUGCAGGAGACCUGGGUUCGAUCCCUGCUUUGGGAA
rnacentral:tRNA from 1 species